rnacentral:rRNA from 1 species
UGCAAGUCGAACGGGAUUAUUUUUGUAGCAAUACAGAAAUAAUUCAGUGGCGAACGGGUGCGUAACACGUGGGCAAUCUGCCGAAAAGUGGGGGAUAGCUCGCCGAAAGGCGAAUUAAUACCGCAUGUGAUGAGGGACGACAUCUUCCUGAAUCCAAAGCCGGGGCAACCUGGCGCUUUUUGAGGAGCCCGCGGCCUAUCAGCUUGUUGGCGGGGUAACGGCCCACCAAGGCUUUGACGGGUAGCUGGUCUGAGAGGACGACCAGUCACACUGGAACUGAGACACGGUCCAGACACCUACGGGUGGCAGCAGUCGAGAAUUCUUCUCAAUGGGGGAAACCCUGAAGGAGCGACGCCGCGUGGAGGAUGAAGGCUUUCGGGUUGUAAACUCCUGUCAUUUGAGAACAAGGUGCGAGUAAUAACUGUACUCGCAUUGAUAGUAUCAGAAGAGGAAGGGACGGCUAACUCUGUGCCAGCAGCCGCGGUAAUACAGAGGUCCCAAGCGUUGUUCGGAUUCAUUGGGCGUAAAGGGUGCGUAGGUGGCGCCGUAAGUCGGGUGUGAAAUUUCGGAGCUUAACUCCGAAACUGCAUUCGAUACUGCGGUGCUUGAGGACUAGAGAGGAGACUGGAAUUCAUGGUGUAGCAGUGAAAUGCGUAGAGAUCAUGAGGAAGACCAGUGGCGAAGGCGGGUCUCUGGACAGUUCCUGACACUGAGGCACGAAGGCCAGGGGAGCAAACGGGAUUAGAUACCCCGGUAGUCCUGGCAGUAAACGGUGCACGUUUGGUGUGGGAGGAUUCGACCCCUUCCGCGCCGGAGCUAACGCGUUAAACGUGCCGCCUGGGGAGUACGGUCGCAAGAUUAAAACUCAUAGAAAUUGACGGGGGCCCGCACAAGCGGUUGAGUAUGUGGUCUU